rnacentral:rRNA from 1 species
AUUGAACGCUGGCGGCAGGCUUAACACAUGCAAGUCGAGCGGAGAUGAGGUGCUUGCACCUUAUCUUAGCGGCGGACGGGUGAGUAAUGCUUAGGAAUCUGCCAUUUAGUGGGGGACAACAUUCCGAAAGGAAUGCUAAUACCGCAUACGUCCUACGGGAGAAAGCAGGGGAUCUUCGGACCUUGCGCUAAAUGAUGAGCCUAAGUCGGAUUAGCUAGUUGGUGGGGUAAAGGCCUACCAAGGCGACGAUCUGUAGCGGGUCUGAGAGGAUGAUCCGCCACACUGGGACUGAGACACGGCCCAGACUCCUACGGGAGGCAGCAGUGGGGAAUAUUGGACAAUGGGGGGAACCCUGAUCCAGCCAUGCCGCGGGUGUGAAGAAGGCCUUAUGGUUGUAAAGCACUUUAAGCGAGGAGGAGGCUACUGAGACUAAUACUCUUGGAUAGUGGACGUUACUCGCAGAAUAAGCACCGGCUAACUCUGUG